GGGGGGCGGGGGCGGUGGGCGGGGCGCGUGCGAGGCGGACGGCGGCACAGUAAGGGCUGGCUCUUAGGGGUGGCGAGUGGCGGACGGGUGAGGAAUACAUCGGAAUCUGCUUUUUCGGGGGGGAUAACGUAGGGAAACUUACGCUAAUACCGCAUGCGACCUACGGGUGAAAGCAGGGGCUCGUCGGACCUUGCGCGAUUGACUGAGCCGAUGUCGGAUUAGCUAGUUGGCGGGGUAAAGGCCCACCAAGGCGACGAUCCGUAGCUGGUCUGAGAGGAUGAGCAGCAACACUGGAACUGAGACACGGUCCAGACUCCUACGGGAGGCAGCAGUGGGGAAUAUUGGACAAUGGGCGCAAGCCUGAUCCAGCCAUACCGCGUGGGUGAAGAAGGCCUUCGGGUUGUAAAGCCCCUUUGUUGGGAAAGAAAAGCAGCAGGUUAAUACCCCGCUGUUCUGACGGUACCCAAAGAAUAAGCACCGGCUAACUUCGUG
rnacentral:rRNA from 1 species